GACGAACGCUGGCGGCGUGCUUAACACAUGCAAGUCGAACGGCAAGGCCCUGCUUUUGUGGGGUGCUCGAGUGGCGAACGGGUGAGUAACACGUGAGUAACCUGCCCUUGACUUUGGGAUAACUUCAGGAAACUGGGGCUACUACCGGAUAGGAGCUCCUGCUGCAUGGUGGGGGUUGGAAAGUUUCGGCGGUUGGGGAUGGACUCGCGGCUUAUCAGCUUGUUGGUGGGGUAGUGGCUUACCAAGGCUUUGACGGGUAGCCGGCCUGAGAGGGUGACUGGCCACAUGGGGACUGAGAUACGGCCCAGACUCCUACGGGAGGCAGCAGUGGGGAAUAUUGCACAAUGGGCGGAAGCCUGAUGCAGCAACGCCGCGUGCGGGAUGACGGCCUUCGGGUUGUAAACCGCUUUCGCCUGUGACGAAGCGUGAGUGACGGUAAUGGGUAAAGAAGCACCGGCUAACUACGUG
rnacentral:rRNA from 1 species